GACGAACGCUGGCGGCGUGCUUAACACAUGCAAGUCGAGCGGAAAGGCCACUUCGGUGGUACUCGAGCGGCGAACGGGUGAGUAACACGUGAGUAAUCUGCCCCUGGCUUUGGGAUAGCCACCGGAAACGGUGAUUAAUACCGGAUACGACCACUUCUCGCAUGGGAUGGUGGGGGAAAGUUUUUUCGGCCAGGGAGGUGCUCACGGCCUAUCAGCUUGAUGGUGAGGUAAUGGCUCACCAUGGCUUCGACGGGUAGCCGGCCUGAGAGGGUGACCGGUCACACUGGGACUGAGACACGGCCCAGACUCCUACGGGAGGCAGCAGUGGGGAAUAUUGGACAAUGGGCGGAAGCCUGAUCCAGCAACGCCGCGUGAGGGAUGACGGCCUUCGGGUUGUAAACCUCUUUCAGCAGGGACGAAGCGCAAGUGACGGUACCUGCAGAAGAAGCACCGGCCAACUACGUGCCAGCAGCCGCCGCCG
rnacentral:rRNA from 1 species